AUUGAACGCUGGCGGCAGGCUUAACACAUGCAAGUCGAGCGGGGUGAUGGUGCUUGCACUAUCACUUAGCGGCGGACGGGUGAGUAAUGCUUAGGAAUCUGCCUAUUAGUGGGGGACAACAUCUCGAAAGGGAUGCUAAUACCGCAUACGUCCUACGGGAGAAAGCAGGGGAUCACUUGUGACCUUGCGCUAAUAGAUGAGCCUAGGUCGGAUUAGCUAGUUGGUGGGGUAAAGGCCUACCAAGGCGACGAUCUGUAGCGGGUCUGAGAGGAUGAUCCGCCACACUGGGACUGGGACACGGCCCAGACUCCUACGGGAGGCAGCAGUGGGGAAUAUUGGACAAUGGGGGGAACCCUGAUCCAGCCAUGCCGCGUGUGUGAAGAAGGCCUUAUGGUUGUAAAGCACUUUAAGCGAGGAGGAGGCUCUUUUGGUUAAUACCCAAGAUGAGUGGACGUUACUCGCAGAACAAGCACCGGCUAACUCUGUGCCAGCCGCCGCUGUAA
rnacentral:rRNA from 1 species